GCCUCCAAAGCUCAGUGGAUAGAGCACUGGUCUCGUAAACCAGAGGUCGGGAAUUCGAUCCUCCCUGGGGGCA
rnacentral:tRNA from 1 species